UGCUUGUGUUUGAAUAGUUUGAAUGAUAAUACAUCAGAAUGAACAGGAAUCAAAAAGGAGUAACUUUGAAUGAGCCUACAUUAUCUUUGAGAUCACUCAUUCUGAGGAAGAAAGCUCCCAGGUCAGGAAGACAAUCAUUCAGUUUUGCAGAGAUCCACCGUAGUGAGAAACUGAGGUCUCCUGCAACUUGCAAGCCACAUGUGAGAUUCAAGAGAGCUGUGAGCAACAACACAGAGCUGUGAACAGGAAUAUUUGGGAACAGAUACUGUGUGAAAUCGAUAAGAAACAAGAAGAGAGAGGAGUCUCUGAAAGAAAAAAUCAAAGAAUAGAGUGUGACUCUGGUCAUCAUCUUAAUGAAAUGAGUGUUGAGAUUGGGGAAAAUGCAGAUAUGAGAAUGAAGAAGACGAUUAGAAAAAAGGAACAAAAGAGAACA